GACAGAGGCCCCGAGCGUUAGGCGGAAUCACUGGGCUUAAAGCGUGUGUAGGCGGGCCCGUAAGUGUCUUGUGAAAUCCCACGGCUCAACCGUGGAACUGCUGGGCAUACUGCGGGUCUUGGGCCAACUAGGGGCAGCCGGAACAAGCGGUGGAGCGGUGAAAUGCGUAGAUAUCGCUUGGAACGCCAACGGUGAAAACAGCUCGCUGGGGGUAUCCUGACGCUGAGACACGAAAGCCAGGGGAGCAAACGGG
rnacentral:rRNA from 1 species